GUCCCUGUAGCUUAAACUAAAGCAUAGCACUGAAGAUGCUAAGAUGGAUCACCACCAUCCCAAGGAC
rnacentral:tRNA from 1 species